GACGAACCACACAAACGUUAUUCGGAAUUACUGGGCUUAAGGGUGCGUAGGCGGCGUGGAAAGUUGGGUGUGAAAUCCCUCAGCUUAACUGAGGAACAGCGCCCAAAACUACCAUGCUCGAGGGAGAUAGAGGAAUGCGGAACUUAGGGUGGAGCGGUGAAAUGCGUUGAUAUCCUAGGGAACACCGGUGGCGAAAGCGGCAUUCUGGAUCUCUUCUGACGCUGAGGCACGAAAGCCAGGGUAGCAAACGGG
rnacentral:rRNA from 1 species